UUGAGAAGAGCUGUUUGACUAUAUCAAGAAUAAUUCGACUGAUGUACACGUGAGCAAGAGAGUGUCAAAUAUAUUGGUUACAUGAAAUUAUGGGCUGUCACUGUCGUCACUUCCGGUUUCGAUAGCAUUUUACUUUCUUGUUUUUAGGACAAUAUACUUUCACUUUUUUUACGACGAUAAUAUGCAUGUUAUUGCAAGUCUGUCAACCUUGUUGGUCUGACGCCUACAGAGAUUCUGUGUAACAAAGACCAGACCAAAAAAACAAAAAGCGUUGAUCAUAAAAAUGAUGCAUGACGCAGGUUAUAAGUUGGCUAUAAUACAACAAGAGAACGGACCAGAUACAGAAGGCGACCACGGCAUUCCUAACAACAAGCAAUCGGCGCGAUUCUUCGACAAGGUGGCGCGGUACACCUUCCCGCUGGUAUUUGGUUUGUUUAACGUCUUCUACUGGAUCUUUUACAAUAUGUGGAAUUUCAGAUAAAUCGGAUAAUUAUUAGUUAAUCAAACGAAUUAAUUAAUUAAAUUAUUGAUUAAUUUUAAUCAAGUGAUUACCUGCCCCCACUCCUCCAUAUGAACAAUGCAGCAAAUGAAGACGGAAAGAAAAGAAAGAAAAAAAACAAAAAGAAAGAAGUUAAUGAAUAAAUAAUAAAGAAACAGGCCUUAACGAGGAAAAUUGGGAAUAAUGAAUUACUAAUUAACCAAUUGGUGACGUGCACAAUGGAAAAAGAUGAUACGAACUACUACUACUACUACUACUACUACUAUUUCUACUGCUUCAAGAAAGAAAGGGGGAAGGCAAAAGAGGAAAGAAAGAAAGAAAGAAAAGAAAAGUGAAAUGGUUAAUAAUGGAAUAAAUGUUUAUAUGAGAAGGGGCAUGUCCCAUCAGAAAAUGAAAAAAGGCUAUGAAGCAACAGAAGGGGACAAUAUACAUACAUACGUUCAUACAUACAUACAUAUAUAUAUAUAUAUAUAUAUAUAUAUAUAUAUAUGAAUGAAAUUAAUGUAGGCAUUGAAAGAAAAAUAGAAAGCUAAUGUAAAGAGAGAAAAGAAAAGAAAGAAUGAAAGAAAGAAAGAAUGAAAGAAAGAAAGAAGCAGAAAACAAGAAGAAUUCAAAGAAAGAGAAAAAGAAUAGAAAAAGAAGAAAAAAUAAAUAACUUGAAAUAGAACGAGAAAAGACAAAACAAAAACCGUGAUAAAUAAAUAAAUAAAGUGCCAUUUUAAAUUGUUUGGUACCUGCAAUUGGACAAAUAUUUCUCCGGAAUAUUUCAAGAGAUAAGAAAUAUAACAAUAAUAUUAAUCUCUGAACGAAUUUUAAAAAUGUUCUAGAGAAAUAUUUUCUUAGGAGGAAAAAAAAAAAAAGCAAAGAAAUAAUAACAAAAUUUUAAAGAAUUUGGAAUCAAUUCUAAAGAAUUUCCACAGACAUUUUUUGGACAAUAUUGGAGGGUGGGGAACCAAAAACAGAAAAAAAGAAAGAAAAACAGCUUUGAAUCAAUUUUGAAAAUCUUCCAGAAGUUUAAAAACAUAAACUUCAAAUUGGUGUGUAUUUUUUGUAUUUUUUUUUUUACCAUUAUUUGUCACAUUUUACUCCACAUCCUCCUCCUCCUCCUACUACUACUACUAUUUCCCCCUCCCACACCACCACUCUUCAGCCCUGAAAAAAAUCAACAACAACAACAAUAAUAACAACAAACGUUUAUUCGGUGGUGUAGCGGUACUGCUGAUAUAUAUUCCAAAUGUUUCAACUUGCUAAAGUGGUUUGAGAAGCAUCCUAUCCUCCUGGUUAAGAUGCUAGACUCUUACAAA